rnacentral:rRNA from 1 species
CUCGUAAAGGAAGGGAGUUAAAUUAACCUCGAUGGUAGUCAUUAGUUCGUCACUGGAGUGAUGAUUAAAGAUUUAUUGGUCAUGGAUGGGGGUGGCGUUCCAUUAGAUAGUUGGCGGGGUAACGGCCCACCAAGUCUACGAUGGAUAGGGGUUCUGAGAGGAAGGUCCCCCACAUUGGAACUGAGACACGGUCCAAACUCCUACGGGAGGCAGCAGUGAGGAAUAUUGGUCAAUGGACGAGAGUCUGAACCAGCCAAGUAGCGUGAAGGAUGACUGCCCUAUGGGUUGUAAACUUCUUUUAUAAAGGAAUAAAGUUCACUACGUGUAGUGUUUUGUAUGUACUUUAUGAAUAAGCAUCGGCUAACUCCGUGCC